AAAAUGACAACACAAAAUUCUCAUGCGCUCAUUGAGUUUUGGUUACCCUAGCACUCUUUCAUCUUCACAGCUACUAGCAAAAAGAAGCAAUACUCUUCACAGACCCACAAAAAAGAAAUUGAGAGCAGAGUCUUCACGAUCUACCCUAGGUUAACUUCAUGACCAUGGAUGAUCAUCUUACGAUGCUCGAAUGUAGUGAAGCUCUUCAUGAAACUUGUUGCAAUGGAUGUCAACUAUAACAUAUCCGAAUUUGAGCUCCAUUGAACAAGUAUAACUUAUCCAACCGAUCCAGCAUUUAACCCUAGCUCUAAAGGUUCGUCUUGGGCCAAUUUUUACCUCCAUGAUGUCAUCUUGAUUUUUCUUGUUACCAUACCAUUUGGUAACUAGAACUUACCUUGAUGGAGUGCAAUUUUCUGAGACAAAGAGCGUCUUUGUGAAGACAAAAACCAAAAAUCUCAUCAUGACAUAGAGAAAAAGAAUCAUUAUGUUAUUGAUGGGUGAGUUGGAAAUGAGGAGAGAGAGAAGGAGCAAAAGAAAAAGGGGCAUAAGCCCAAUUGAAGGGGGGAUUCGACAAAUUUGGAUCUAGAGAGCUGGAGAGGAAGCAGAAGGUGCAGCCAAGCAAGAAGGAGAGGAAGCAAAAAGUAAGGAGAGAAAGAUUUCCACCAUUAAAGACCUUGAGCUUCCAUCACUUUCACAAAAUCUGUAAACUCUUUCUAGUUAUAUUUUGAAUUCGUGU